UUUUUUUUUUUUUCCACUUAAAAAUCAGGAUAUAUGCUUUUUCUACCUAUUAAAGUCUCCCUUAAUAGAUAUAGUAAGAGGGACACCUGGGUGGCUCAGCAGUUGAGUGCCUGCCUUUGGCUCAGCGCGUGAUGCAGGGAGUCCCGGGAUCAAGUCCCACAUCAAGCUCCCUGCAUGGAGCCUGCUUCUCUCUCUGCCUAUGUCUCUCCUCUCUCUCUCUGUGUCUCUCAUGAAUAAAUCAUUAAAAUCUUUAAAAAAAUAGAUAUAAUAAGAGAUUUAAAUGCUGCACAGGUUUUAAAAAAAUUGUCUUUGGAAAAGAGAAAAAUCAUCAGGGAUGUGUCACUGAUACACAGUGGCAGCUAAAAUAUCAAGUGAAAAUGAGUGAAUAUGCAGGCUAAAAAAAUCCUGAAGCAUCAUAAUUUCUAUAUAAAAGGUAAAAUACUGGGAUGCCUUGCCUGGGCGGCUCUCAAUUAAGUGUCUGACUCUUGAUUGGGCUUCAGGGUCUUGAGAUGGAGCCCUGUGUUGGGCUGCAUGGCUCCGCACAGAGAGCACUUUAGACACUCUCUUUCCAUCUCCCUCUACUCCCUCCUCCACUGGGGCUCUCUAAUAAAUAAAUAUUUUUAAUGUAAAUAUUCUCUAAAUUGGCAUUAGGUGGAACACAAUUUCCCGCAUCCUAUUUAAGUACUUUAGAGAGGACUAUUCAGUUAAAAAAAAAAAAAAAAUCAUUAUUAAAGCCCUAAGGCCAAGAAAAAGACAAAUUAUUUUUAAAUUUUAAAAUAUCAGAGAGCUAUUCAGAAGUUCGAUUAACCUAACCAUAGCUUGAAUAAAAGCUGUGAACUUGCCAAAAUGAUUAUGCCUAAACUAACGACAAAAUAAUUUUUUGCUGAGCCACAAAAUGAUAUUAUUUCUAACAGUAAAUAAAUAAUUUUCUUAAAGCCAUAACAUCAAAGUGAGUACAUGCUUUCGAGAGAAAAUUCAGAAUAUCAAAUAUGAAAUAAAAAGUCAGAGAAAAGUUGCGGGAUGGGGGUCAACAUGUAUGGUAAAAGGCCCAAUAUUUGAAGUCUGAUAGGAAAAUCUGAGGCUCAGAGAUUGAAUAAAUAUAUUUAGAAAAAUGACACCAGAGCAGCCCGGGUGGCUCAGCGGUUUAGCGUCACCUUCAGCCCUGGGCCGAAGGCGGUGCUAAACCACUGAGCCACUCAGGCUGCCCUAUGAUACCAAAAAUCUAAUGGGAAAAAAUAGGCAAUACAUAUAGUCAUAGGUAAAUGUUAGGUGUUUAGGCCUGUGGAAAGAGAUGAUGAUUGGCCUGCUGAGGUAGGGUAGUCAGAGUAGGCCACUAAGGUGACAUCCCAGGAAAGACUAAAGGUCAGGGACUAAUUCAAAGGAAGAGCAAUCCAAGCAGAGGAAACCACCACUAUAGAGACCCUGAGGUGAAAGUACAUCUGGUAUGUUAGAAGAAUAGGAAAGAGGCCAGUGCAGCAGGAACAGAGUAAUCAAGAGAAUAUGAGCUGAGGUCAAAGAGAUAAAGAGGGACCUGACCACUUACUGUUUCACAGAUUAUUGUAAUGGGAAUCCAAGAAGUAAUAUGAACUUUCAUUUUAAAAGGAUCAUCCUGUCAUAUUAAGAAAAGACUACAGAGAAGGAAGGACAGAAGCAGAAAGAACCACUGGGAAGCUGUGGCAAUUCACUCAGGCAAGAAAUGAAGAUGGGCUAGACCAGAAUAGUAACAAUGGAGGAAGUGAGAAGUGGUGAGCCUGUAUCGGUAUUUUGAGUAGGUUAAAAGGCUUUGCUGACAGAAUGGAUGUAGAGUGAGAGAGAACGAAUGGAAUCAAGGAUGAUCCCAAGAUCUUCAUCCUAAUGGAGAGAUGGAUUUGCUAUUAACUGAACAACAAAGACUGCUGAUGAAGCAGAUUUGUUAGAGGGAACAAGUUCAGUUUUGUAUUUUACUUUUGAGGGUCAAUUAAAUAUUCCAAUAGAAUAUUUAAAUGAGUUUAUUUUACAGACAGCUAAUCAAAAAUAAAAUUUUAAUAAAAUUAAACUUUAAUUGUUAAUAUCUAUUUGACUAGCUAAUCAAUAUAAUAAAUUUUCACUAUUAAUAAUCUUUAUUUCGGGGCAGCCCGGGUGGCUCAGCGGUUUAGCGCCACCUUCAGCCCAGGGCGUGAUCUGAAGACCUGGGAUCGAGUCCCACGUCGGGCUCCCUGCAUGGAGCCUGCUUCUCCCUCUGCCUGUGUCUCUGCCUCUCUCUCUCUCUGUAUGACUAUCAUAAAUAAAUUUUUAAAAAAAUUAAAAAAAUAAAAUAAAAUAAAAAAAUAAUAAAAAAAUAAUAAUCCUCCCCCAGGAACUUGUUUGAGAGUUUACAACCAAACUUAAAGCUCACCCUAUGAAGAAAUAACUAAUAAAUACAUCGUAUAGAAAAUUUUUUAGCUUAAGCAGGAGCUCAUAUUUUCAAAAUUGAUUACUCUCUCUCCUAAACUAUUGAUGGUGGUAAGCCUUGUUGCA
rnacentral:lncRNA from 1 species